rnacentral:rRNA from 1 species
UGGGGAAUAUUGCACAAUGGGGGGAACCCUGAUGCAGCGACCCCCCGUGGAGGAAGAAGGUCUUCCGAUUGUAAACUCCUGUUGUUGAGGAAGAUAAUGACGGUACUCAACAAGGAAGUGACGGCUAACUACGUGCCAGCAGCCGCGGUAAAACGUAGGUCACAAGCGUUGUCCGGAAUUACUGGGUGUAAAGGGAGCGCAGGCGGGAAGACAAGUUGGAAGUGAAAUCUAUGGGCUCAACCCAUAAACUGCUUUCAAAACUGUUUUUCUUGAGUAGUGCAGAGGUAGGCGGAAUUCCCGGUGUAGCGGUGGAAUGCGUAGAUAUCGGGAGGAACACCAGUGGCGAAGGCGGCCUACUGGGCACCAACUGACGCUGAGGCUCGAAAGUGUGGGUAGCAAACAGGAUUAGAUACCCUGGUAGUCCACACCGUAAACGAUGAUUACUAGGUGUUGGAGGAUUGACCCCUUCAGUGCCGCAGUUAACACAAUAAGUAAUCCACCUGGGGAGUACGACCGCAAGGUUGAAACUCAAAGGAAUUGACGGGGGCCCGCACAAGCAGUGGAGUAUGUGGUUUAAUUCGACGCAACGCGAAGAACCUUACCAAGUCUUGACAUCCUGCGACGGACAUAGAAAUAUGUCUUUCCUUCGGGACGCAGAGACAGGUGGUGCAUGGUUGUCGUCAGCUCGUGUCGUGAGAUGUUGGGUUAAGUCCCGCAACGAGCGCAACCCUUACUGUCAGUUACUACGCAAGAGGACUCUGGCAGGACUGCCGUUGACAAAACGGAGGAAGGUGGGGAUGACGUCAAAUCAUCAUGCCCUUUAUGACUUGGGCUACACACGUACUACAAUGGCGUUAAACAAAGAGAAGCAAGACCGCGAGGUGGAGCAAAACUCAGAAACAACGUCCCAGUUCGGACUGCAGGCUGCAACUCGCCUGCACGAAGUCGGAAUUGCUAGUAAUCGUGGAUCAGCAUGCCACGGUGAAUACGUUCCC